rnacentral:rRNA from 1 species
GAUGAACGCUGGCGGCGUGCCUAAUACAUGCAAGUCGAGCGAACAGACGAGGAGCUUGCUCCUCUGACGUUAGCGGCGGACGGGUGAGUAACACGUGGAUAACCUACCUAUAAGACUGGGAUAACUUCGGGAAACCGGAGCUAAUACCGGAUAAUAUAUUGAACCGCAUGGUUCAAUAGUGAAAGACGGUUUUGCUGUCACUUAUAGAUGGAUCCGCGCCGCAUUAGCUAGUUGGUAGGGUAACGGCUUACCAAGGCGACGAUGCGUAGCCGACCUGAGGGGGUGAUCGGCCACACUGGAACUGAGACACGGUCCAGACUCCUACGGGAGGCAGCAGUAGGGAAUCUUCCGCAAUGGGCGAAAGCCUGACGGAGCAACGCCGCGUGAGUGAUGAAGGUCUUCGGAUCGUAAAACUCUGUUAUUAGGGAAGAACAAAUGUGUAAGUAACUAUGCACGUCUUGACGGUACCUAAUCAGAAAGCCACGGCUAACUACGUG